rnacentral:rRNA from 1 species
CUACGUGCCAGCAGCCGCGGUAAUACGUAGGGCGCGAGCGUUGUCCGGAAUUAUUGGGCGUAAAGAGCUUGUAGGCGGUUUGUCGCGUCUGCUGUGAAAGGCCGGAGCUUAACUCCGUGUAUUGCAGUGGGUACGGGCAGACUAGAGUGCAGUAGGGGAGACUGGAAUUCCUGGUGUAGCGGUGGAAUGCGCAGAUAUCAGGAAGAACACCGGUGGCGAAGGCGGGUCUCUGGGCCGUUACUGACGCUGAGGAGCGAAAGCGUGGGGAGCGAACAGGAUUAGAUACCCUGGUAGUCCACGCCGUAAACGAUGAGUGCUAGGUGUUAGACCCUUUCCGGGGUUUAGUGCCGCAGCUAACGCAUUAAGCACUCCGCCUGGGGAGUACGACCGCAAGGUUGAAACUCAAAGGAAUUGACGGGGGCCCGCACAAGCGGUGGAGCAUGUGGUUUAAUUCGAAGCAACGCGAAGAACCUUACCAGGUCUUGACAUCCCUCUGACCGCUCUAGAGAUAGAGCUUUCCUUCGGGACA